rnacentral:rRNA from 1 species
AGAGUUUGAUCCUGGCUCAGAUUGAACGCUGGCGGCGUGCCUAACACAUGCAAGUCGAGCGGUAACAGGUGUAGCAAUACAUGCUGACGAGCGGCGAACGGGUGAGUAAUGCUUCGGAAUCUACCUUAUGGUGGGGAAUAACUAGCCGAAAGGUUAGCUAAUACCGCAUACGUCCUACGGGAGAAAGCAGGGGAUCGCAAGACCUUGCGCCAAAAGAUGAGCCGAAGUCGGAUUAGCUAGUUGGUAGGGUAACGGCCUACCAAGGCGACGAUCCGUAGCUGGUCUGAGAGGACGACCAGCCACACUGGGACUGAGACACGGCCCAGACUCCUACGGGAGGCAGCAGUGGGGAAUAUUGGACAAUGGGGGAAACCCUGAUCCAGCGACGCCGCGUGUGUGAAGAAGGCCUGCGGGUUGUAAAGCACUUUUAGUGGGGAUGAAAUGUGCAGGGUUAAUACCUCUGCAUUUUGACCUAACCCACAGAAAAAGCACCGGCUAACUCUGUG